GAUGAACGCUGGCGGCGUGCCUAAUACAUGCAAGUCGAGCGAACGGACGAGAAGCUUGCUUCUCUGAUGUUAGCGGCGGGCGGGUGAGUAACACGUGGAUACCCUACCUAUAAGACUGGGAUAACUUCGGGAAACCGGAGCUAAUACCGGAUAAUAUUUUGAACCGCAUGGUUCAAAAGUGAAAGACGGUCUUGCUGUCACUUAUAGAUGGAUCCGCGCUGCAUUAGCUAGUUGGUAAGGUAACGGCUUACCAAGGCAACGAUGCAUAGCCGACCUGAGAGGGUGAUCGGCCACACUGGAACUGAGACACGGUCCAGACUCCUACGGGAGGCAGCAGUAGGGAAUCUUCCGCAAUGGGCGAAAGCCUGACGGAGCAACGCCGCGUGAGUGAUGAAGGUCUUCGGAUCGUAAAACUCUGUUAUUAGGGAAGAACAGAUGUGUAAGUAACUGUGCACAUCUUGACGGUACCUAAUCAGAAAGCCACGGCUAACUACGUG
rnacentral:rRNA from 1 species